UACAGGGGGGGGCAAGCGUUGUUCGGAAUUACUGGGCGUAAAGGGCCAGUAGGCGGCCAACUAAGUCACACGUGAAAUCCCCGGGCUUAACCCGGGAACUGCGUAUGAUACUGGAUGGCUUGAAUUCGGGAGAGGGAUGCAGAAUUCCAGGUGUAGCGGUGAAAUGCGUGAGAUAUCUGGAGGAAUACCGGUGGCGAAGGCGGCAUCCUGGACCGACAUUGACGCUGAACGGCGAAAGCUAAGGGGAGCAAACGGG
rnacentral:rRNA from 1 species